CAGCCCUAAACGAUGCGCGUUAGGUGUAUCGGUGACCACGAGUCACCGAGGUGCCGAAGGGAAACCGUGAAACGUGCCGCCUGGGAAGUACGGUCGCAAGGCUGAAACUUAAAGGAAUUGGCGGGGGAGCACAAACAACGGGUGGAGCUUGCGGUUUAAUUGGAUUCAACGCCGGAAAUCUUACCGGGACCGACAGCAACAUGAAGGCCAAGCUGAAGACUUUGCCGGAUUAGCUGAGAGAGGUGCAUGGCGUAGUCGUGU
rnacentral:rRNA from 1 species